rnacentral:rRNA from 1 species
GACGAACGCUGGCGGCGUGCUUAACACAUGCAAGUCGAACGAUGAAGCCUUUCGGGGUGGAUUAGUGGCGAACGGGUGAGUAACACGUGGGUAAUCUGCCCUGCACUCUGGGAUAAGCCCGGGAAACUGGGUCUAAUACCGGAUAUGACUACUGAUCGCAUGGUUGGUGGUGGAAAGUUCCGGCGGUGCAGGAUGAACCCGCGGCCUAUCAGCUUGUUGGUGGGGUGAUGGCCUACCAAGGCGACGACGGGUAGCCGGCCUGAGAGGGCGACCGGCCACACUGGGACUGAGACACGGCCCAGACUCCUACGGGAGGCAGCAGUGGGGAAUAUUGCACAAUGGGCGAAAGCCUGAUGCAGCGACGCCGCGUGAGGGACGACGGCCUUCGGGUUGUAAACCUCUUUCGCACGGGACGAAGCGAGAGUGACGGUACCGUGAGAAGAAGCACCGGCUAACUACGUGCCAGCAGCCGCCGCGUAAAAC